CCAACCAGAGCCCCCAGAGCUGGCAGACACCAGUGUGACGCUGCCAUGGGCCCUCAGCUCCUGGGCUGUGUCAUGCUUUGUCUCCUAGGAGCAGGUCCUACUGAAGCCGAAGUGACCCAGACCCCAAGACACCUCAUUACAGAGACCAAAAAGAAGUUGACAGUGACUUGUUCUCAGAAUAUGGACCACGAAUUGAUGUACUGGUAUCGACAAGGCCCAGGGCUGGGUCUAAAGCUGAUCUAUUAUUCAAUUAAUGUUGAUCAUUUUGAAAAGGGAGAGGUUUCUGACGGGUACACGGUGUCUCGAACAGAGAAGAAGAAUUUCCCACUGACCCUGGAGUCAGCCAACAUCAGCCAGACCUCUCUGUAUCUCUGUGCCAGCAGGUAACCACAGCACUGCAUGGCCAGCUGCUCUCCACACAAAAAAGCAGCCACAGAGCAAGGAGGAUCCUCCCUUGAGAGGCCCCACCCAACCAGGAGGAAAACCUUCCCCCACCAUCAGUGCCCAUAGA